GGCAGGGUAAGCUCAGUGGUAGAGCGCAUGCUUAGCAUGCGUGAGACCCUGGGUUCAAUCCUCAGUACUGCCA
rnacentral:tRNA from 1 species